rnacentral:rRNA from 1 species
GUCGGUGGUUAUGGCGGAGGGGGUACGCCCGGUCCCAUCCCGAACCCGGAAGCUAAGCCCUCCAGCGCCGAUGGUACUGCACUCGUUAGGGUGUGGGAGAGUAGGUCGCCGCCGACA